rnacentral:rRNA from 1 species
UACGUAGGGGGCAAGCGUUAUCCGGAUUUACUGGGUGUAAAGGGAGCGUAGGUGGCAUGGUAAGCCAGAAGUGAAAACCCGGGGCUCAACCCCGCGGAUUGCUUUUGGAACUAUCAGGCUGGAGUGCUGGAGGGGUAAGCGGAAUUCCUAGUGUAGCGGUGAAGUGCGUAGAUAUUAGGAGGAACACCGGUGGCGAAGGCGGCUUACUGGACAGAAACUGACACUGAGGCUCGAAAGCGUGGGGAGCAAACAGG